CCGCUGAAUUUAAGCAUAUAACUAAGCGGAGGAAAAGAAACUAACAAGGAUUUCCCCAGUAACGGCGAGUGAAGCGGGAAGAGCCCAGCACCGAAUCCCCCAGUGUCAUGCUGACGGGAACUGUGGUGUGUGGGACGCCACCAGUCGCAUUAGUCGUCACCGAAGUCCUCCUGAUUGAGGCUUCACCCAGAGCGGGUGUAAGGCCUUUGCUGGUGUACGACUGUGCGGCCGCGAGCGUCUCAGGAGUCGGGUUGUUUGGGAAUGCAGCCCAAAGUGGGUGGUAAACUCCAUCUAAGGCUAAAUACUGGCACGAGUCCGAUAGCGGACAAGUACCGUGAGGAAAGUUGAAAGAACUUUGAAGAGAGAG
rnacentral:rRNA from 1 species